rnacentral:rRNA from 1 species
GUGAACCAUCGAGUCUUUGAACGCAAGUUGCGCCCGAGGCCAUCAGGCUAAGGGCACGCCUGCCUGGGCGUUGCGUGCUGCAUCUCUCUCCCAUUGCUAAGGCUGAACAGGCAUACUGUUCGGCCGGCGCGGAUGAGUGUUUGGCCCCUUGUUCUUCGGUGCGAUGGGUC